UUUAAAGCACUUAAGGGCGUAUGGUGGAUGCCUUGGCUCUGAGAGACGAUGAAGGACGUGGUAAGCUGCGAUAAGCUACGGGGAGCUGCACACAAGCGUAAUAUCCGUAGAUUUCCGAAUGGGACAACCCGGCUGGCUGAAGGCCAGUCACUCCGCAAGGAGAGUCAACCCUGGGAACUGAAACAUCUAAGUACCAGGAGGAAAAGAAAACAAUAGUGAUUCCCCAAGUAGUGGCGAGCGAAAAGGGAAUAGCCCAAACUUCGGCAGCGUGCUGCCGGAGGGUUGUAGGACCACUUUUAGAAACCAAUUUCAAGCUGAAUCUUCUGGAAAGUUGAACCAUAGCAGGUGAUAGUCCUGUAAGCACAAAUAAUUGGGGACGUGUGGUAUCCUGAGUACGGCGGGACCGGAGGAAUCCUGCCUGAAUCUGCCAGCACCAUCUGGUAAGGCUAAAUACUCCUCAGAGACCGAUAGUGAACCAGUACCGUAAGGGAAAGGUGAAAAGCACCCCGAACAGGGGAGUGAAAUAGUACCUGAAACCGUACGCCUACAAGCGGUCGGAGUCCAGCAAUGGAUGACGGCGUGCCUUUUGCAUAAUGAGCCUACGAGUUGCUCCUCACUAGCGAGGUUAAGGUCUUAAGUACCGGAGCCGUAGCGAAAGCGAGUCCAAAUAGGGCGUUUAGUUAGUGGGGGCAGACGCGAAACUUUGUGAUCUAUCCAUGGGCAGGUUGAAGGUGUGGUAACACACACUGGAGGACCGAACUCAUUAACGUUGAAAAGUUAUGGGAUGACCUGUGGAUAGGGGUGAAAGGCCAAUCAAACUGAGAGAUAGCUCGUUCUCCCCGAAAUGUUUUUAGGAACAGCCUCGGAUAUAGAAGUUUACUAGAGGUAGAGCUACUGAUUGGGCUAGGGGGCUUCACCGCCUACCAAACCCUGACAAACUCCGAAUGCUAGUAAAUAUCUCCGGGAGUGAGGCUGCGGGUGCUAAGGUCCGUGGCCGAGAGGGAAAUAACCCAGAUUAGCAACUAAGGUCCCUAAUACGUAGUUAAGUUGAUCAAACGAGGUGGGAUUUCUAUAACAGCCAGGAUGUUGGCUUGGAAGCAGCCAUUCAUUUAAAGAGUGCGUAACAGCUCACUGGUCGAGAGACUCUGCACGGAAAAUAAUCGGGCAUCAAACUACGAACCGAAGUUCUAAGAUUGCCACUAGGUGGUAUAUCGGUAGGGGAGCAUUCCCAUCUGCUGCGAAGGUGUAUGGCGACGUAUGCUGGAGCGUUGGGAAAAGAAAAUGUAGGCAUGAGUAGCGAUAAAAGGAGUGAAAAACUCCUUCGCCGAAAGUCUAAGGUUUCCUGAUCAACGUUAAUCGGAUCAGGGUUAGUCGGGUCCUUAGGCAAACCCGAAAGGGGUAGCUGAUGGAAAACUGGUUAAUAUUCCAGUACCUGCUAUAGUUUCGAUGGGGUGACGCGGUAGUGAAAGACCCGGGUGGAUACGGAAUUCCACCUUAAAGCGUGUAGAUAUAUUUUCUGUAGGUAAAUCCGCAGAGAAUGUCGAACGUGAUAGUACCACAAAGCUUCGGCAGCGUGGAUAGUGGUCCUAAUCAUACCGCCGAGAAAAACCUCUAAGGCUAGGCUAUAGCGGCCCGUACCGCAAACCGACACAGGUAGACGAGAUGAAUAUUCUAAGGCGCUCGGGUGAGCCGCGGAGAAGGAACUAGGCAAAUUGACGCUGUAACUUCGGGAUAAAGCGUACCACCUUAUGGGUGGUCUCAGUAAAAUGGUUCAACCAACUGUUUAACAAAAACACAGGGCCCUGCAAAAUCGAAAGAUGACGUAUAGAGCCUGAUACCUGCCCGGUGCCGGAAGGUUAAGGAAGGAUGUUCGGAGCAAUCCAAAGCUUCUGACUGAAGCCCCGGUAAACGGCGGCCGUAACUAUAACGGUCCUAAGGUAGCGAAAUUCCUUGUCGGGUAAGUUCCGACCUGCACGAAUGGUCUAAUGAGUUGAACACUGUCUCCUCCGCGAGCCCGGUGAAAUUGUAGUAUCGGUGAAGAUGCCGGUUACCCGUCACGGGACGGAAAGACCCCGUGAACCUUCACUACAACUUUGCAUUGAUUUUGAGCAACCGAUGUGUAGAAUAGUUGGGACGCUUUGAAGCGGAGCCGCCAGGUUUCGUGGAGCGGUCGUUGAAAUACCAACCUUCGUUUGCUUAGAGUCUAAUCCCUUACGGGAAACAGUGCAUGGUGGGUAGUUUGACUGGGGUGGUCGCCUCCUAAAAAGUAACGGAGGCUUGCAAAGGUUCCCUCAGUACGGUUGGUAAUCGUACGAAGAGCGCAUCAGUAUAAGGGAGCUUGACUGUGAGACAUACAAGUCGAGCAGGGUCGAAAGACGGCUGAAGUGAUCCGGUGGUUCUGUAUGGAAGGGCCAUCGCUCAAAGGAUAAAAGGUACUCCGGGGAUAACAGGCUGAUCUCCCCCAAGAGCUCAUAUCGACGGGGAGGUUUGGCACCUCGAUGUCGGUUCGUCACAUCCUGGGGCUGGAGAAGGUCCCAAGGGUUCGGCUGUUCGCCGAUUAAAGUGGCACGUGAACUGGGUUCAGAACGUCGCAAGACAGUUCGGUCCCUAUCUGUGAUGGGCGUUAGAAUAUUGCGUGGACAUGACCUUAGUACGAGAGGACCGGGUCGUACGGACCGCUGGUGUAUCUGUUGUGCCGCCAGGUGCAAUGCAGAGUAGCUACGUCCGGCCAGGAUAAACGCUGAAAGCAUCUAAGCGUGAAACCUUCCACAAGAUGAGUAUUCUUUUAAGGGUCGUCAGAGACUAUGACGUUGAUAGGCUACAGGUGUAAAAUUGGUAACAGCAAAGCCGAGUAGUACUAAUUGCCCGUAAGCUUUUAUUU
rnacentral:rRNA from 1 species